CGGCGGACGGGUGAGUAACACGUGGAUAACCUACCUAUAAGACUGGGAUAACUUCGGGAAACCGGAGCUAAUACCGGAUAAUAUAUUGAACCGCAUGGUUCAAUGGUGAAAGACGGUUUUGCUGUCACCUAUAGAUGGAUCCGCGCCGCAUUAGCUAGUUGGUAAGGUAACGGCUUACCAAGGCAACGAUGCGUAGCCGACCUGAGAGGGUGAUCGGCCACACUGGAACUGAGACACGGUCCAGACUCCUACGGGAGGCAGCAGUC
rnacentral:rRNA from 1 species